UGGGGAAUAUUGCGCAAUGGGCGAAAGCCUGACGCAGCGACGCCGCGUGUGGGAUGACGGCCUUCGGGUUGUAAACCACUGUCGGGAGGGACGAAUGCCCCGCAAGGGGAGCGACGGUACCUCCAAAGGAAGCACCGGCUAACUCCGUGCCAGCAGCCGCGGUAAUACGGAGGGUGCGAGCGUUGUCCGGAAUCACUGGGCGUAACGGGCGCGUAGGCGGCCUGGUAAGUAGGGGGUGAAAUCCUGCGGCUUAACCGCAGGGCUGCCUUCUAAACUGUCAGGCUUGAGCACGGUAGAGGCAGAUGGAAUUCCCGGUGUAGCGGUGGAAUGCGCAGAGAUCGGGAAGAACAUCAGUGGCGAAGGCGGUCUGCUGGGCCGUUGCUGACGCUGAGGCGCGACAGCGUGGGGAGCAAAC
rnacentral:rRNA from 1 species